UACAGAGGGGGCAAGCGUUAUUCGGAAUUAUUGGGCGUAAAGGGCGCGUAGGCGGCUUUGCAAGUGACGGGUGAAAUCCCUCGGCUUAACCGAGGAACUGCCUGUCAAACUGCAUGGCUUGAGACCGGGGAGAGGUGAGUGGAAUUCCCAGUGUAGCGGUGAAAUGCGUAGAGAUCGGAAAGAACACCAACGGCGAAAGCACUCUGCUGGGCCGACACUGACACUGAGAGACGAAAAGCUAGGGGGAGCGAAUGGGG
rnacentral:rRNA from 1 species